GACCUUUCCAAAUCUUGACAUCCUUUGAAAACUCCAGAGAUAGAGCUUUCCCUUCGGGGACAAAGUGACAGGUGGUGCAUGGUUGUCGUCAGCUCGUGUCGUGAGAUGUUGGGUUAAGUCCCGCAACGAGCGCAACCCUUAAGCUUAGUUGCCAUCAUUAAGUUGGGCACUCUAGGUUGACUGCCGGUGACAAACCGGAGGAAGGUGGGGAUGACGUCAAAUCAUCAUGCCCCUUAUGAUUUGGGCUACACACGUGCUACAAUGGACAAUACAAAGGGCAGCUAAACCGCGAGGUCAUGCAAAUCCCAUAAAGUUGUUCUCAGUUCGGAUUGUAGUCUGCAACUCGACUACAUGAAGCUGGAAUCGCUAGUAAUCGUAGAUCAGCAUGCUACGGUGAAUACGUUCCCGGGUCUUGUACACACCGCCCGUA
rnacentral:rRNA from 1 species